rnacentral:rRNA from 1 species
GAUGAACGCUGGCGGCGUGCCUAAUACAUGCAAGUCGAGCGAACAGAUGAGGAGCUUGCUCCUCUGACGUUAGCGGCGGACGGGUGAGUAACACGUGGAUAACCUACCUAUAAGACUGGGAUAACUUCGGGAAACCGGAGCUAAUACCGGAUAAUAUAUUGAACCGCAUGGUUCAAUAGUGAAAGACGGUUUUGCUGUCACUUAUAGAUGGAUCCGCGCCGCAUUAGCUAGUUGGUAAGGUAACGGCUUACCAAGGCAACGAUGCGUAGCCGACCUGAGAGGGUGAUCGGCCACACGGGAACUGAGACACGGUCCAGGCUCCUACGGGAGGCAGCAGUAGGGAAUCUUCCGCAAUGGGCGAAAGCCUGACGGAGCAACGCCGCGUGAGUGAUGAAGGUCUUCGGAUCGUAAAACUCUGUUAUUAGGGAAGAACAAAUGUGUAAGUAACUAUGCACGUCUUGACGGUACCUAAUCAGAAAGCCACGGCUAACUACGUG